UACGUAGGGGGCAAGCGUUGUCCGGAAUUAUUGGGCGUAAAGGGCGUGUAGGCGGUAUAAUAAGUCAGAUGUGAAAGUUCGGGGCUUAACCCCGGAAUUGCAUUUGAAACUGUAAUACUUGAGUACUGGAGAGGUAAGUGGAAUUCCUAGUGUAGCGGUGAAAUGCGUAGAUAUUAGGAGGAACACCAGUGGCGAAGGCGACUUACUGGACAGAUACUGACGCUGAGGCGCGAAAGCGUGGGGAGCAAACAGGG
rnacentral:rRNA from 1 species